UGACCUGCCCAUGAUAAAAUUUAUUUAAUGGCCGCGGUAUUUAUGACCGUGCAAAGGUAGCAUAAUCAUUAGCCUUUUAAUUGGAGGCUUGUAUGAAUGGUUGAACAAAAGGAAUACUGUCUACUUUAAUAGAAAUUGAAUUUAACUUUUAAGUGAAAAGGCUUAAAUAAUUCAGAGGGACGAUAAGACCCUAUAAAACUUUAUAAAUAAAAGGAUUAAUUAAGUUUUUAUUAAAAAUAAAUAUUUUAUUAUUAAUUAAGUUGGGGCAACUAUAGUAUAAUUAUUAUUAACUGCUUUAUAAUAUAAACAAAUAUAUUUGGAUUAAAAUUAAAUGAUCCUUUGUUAUUAAGAAUUUAAGAUUAAGUUACUUUAGGGAUAACAGCGUUAUUUUUUUUGAGAGUUCAUAUUGAAAAAAGAGUUUGCGACCUCGAUGUUGAAUUAAAAUUUCUAUAUAGUGCAGCUAUUAUAUAAGAGGGUCUGUUCGACCUUUAAUUUUUUACAUGAUUUGAGUUCAGACCGGCGUAAGCC
rnacentral:rRNA from 1 species